rnacentral:rRNA from 1 species
AUUGAACGCUGGCGGCAUGCCUAACACAUGCAAGUCGAGCGGAUGAAGGGAACUUUCCCCUGGAUUCAGCGGCGGACGGGUGAGUAAUGCCUAGGAAUCUUCCUGGUAGUGGGGGAUAACGUCCGGAAACGGGCGCUAAUACCGCAUACGACCUGAGGGAUAAAGUGGGUGAUCUUCGAACCUCACGCUAUCAGAUGAGCCUAGGUCGGAUUAGCUAGUUGGUGGGGUAAAGGCCUACCCAGGCGACGAUCCGUAACUGGUCGGAGAGGAUGAUCAGUCACACUGGAACUGAGACACGGUCCAGAAUCCUACGGGAGGCAGGAGUGGGGCAUAUUGGAGAAUGGGCGAAAGCCUGAUCCAGCGAGGCCGCGUGUGUGAAGAAGGUCUUCGGAUGGUAAAGCACUUUCAGGUGGGAGGCAGGGCAGUAAGUUAAUAACUUGCUGUUUUGACGUUACCAAGAGAAUAAGCACCGGCUAACUUCGUG